rnacentral:lncRNA from 1 species
GCAGUUCUUGAGUUCCACAUGCAGAGCAGAUGCGACAGCUAGAAGUGAGUAGGGCCCAGACCCUGGCCCAGGAAGAUCCACUAAAGGAGGCCAUCCUUCCGCCUUCUUCUGCAGGAGUCAGGGGGCGUGUAAAGGUGAUUUGUUCGCCAAGAAAAGCACUUUUAGUAAAGCACAGAUGUUAAUCUAGAUCAUGGAAAAGUGCCACACACUAGAUUUAGCACAUAAGCAAGGAGUCUCUAGAACACUCAGAAGAAAAUGAAUGAAUCCAUGAAUGAAUGGACAAGUGAGAGCCCAGAGCAGCUGAAGCCAUGAAGUGCUUUGGAAAGAGAAGCGUGCCUGGGAAAAGAGAGUGGCUGAGUGCUAAGAGCAGGGUGAACACCAUGGAAAACUUGAAAUUGAAAACAUCACAAUUUUAAUGAGAAAAAGCGCAACCCAAAGUGAAGAGCACCAUUAUAACAAAGGCGAUGCAAACCAGUAAUGCAGAAUCCUAUUGCUCUAUAAAAAUUUGAAUUGCUUGAAUCUAUUACAAAUUUUUGCCAGUGUGCUUCCUGCCUCAAGGAUGGAUGGAAAGGCAGAUGUAAAGUCCCUCAUGGC